CUGGUGAACCACUUUCCAGCUCAAGAGCGCUGGAGGUGCUCGGAUCUUUGAUGUGCUGCCUAAAACCCAAAAAGAUUUUGUAAGCCAUGUUUUAUCCUGCAAAGAAAGGAGGGCAGGACAUUUUGGUGGGAGGUGAGUUCAGUCUGAGCAUCAAGGAAUCACUUUUGUCAGCAAGAUCAAGCAAACUGUGGAAUCAUCUCAUAAAGCAAAGGAUGAGAGCCUCAUCGACAAAGACUUCAAAACUUGACUUGAAAAAAUACUCAUGAAUGAUCCGUAGCUGCUCCAAGAGACAGUGGAAUAAAGCAGUAGCAGCCAGAGGUGUUGAACAGUAACUACGUUGUCCUGUGUUCUGCCAAGGUGAUCGGAAAGAAGCUUCCUAUCCCUAAAAGCUCAUGAUCUCAAUACAACCAGCUUCAGCCAAGUCAGCAGAUUUUACUGUGCUUUCGUUUGGUUCAGGGAAGAGCCUCAGAAACGCUCCGAUACAGUCAGCAGGCGGUAGAUUAGCAGCUCCACCCAGAGUUCACUCCAGGCUCGCGCGAGUUCUGUUCCAUGGAGAGGACGGCUGGUUCCCUGAAACAAUAGCGCAAUUUUCUCUUCUGUGCACCGCACUCUAGAAAUCACCCUGGAAAUAAUCCCAGAGUGAGAGAAGCCAACCAACAAAUCCAUGGGCAAAGGAAGAUCUCUUACUGUUGUUGAAUCCAUGAUAUUCAUCACUGGGAACAGCAGGACAGGCAAGAGAGCGGUGACAGCCAACGGCAGGGCUUCCGUGCACCAGAACAGUGCCAUCACUAUGAUGAUGUAACCACACUCGGCCUCCUGAUAGAAGAAGAGUACGCGCAAUCAGAACAGGCUGUACAUCUCGCUUGGGCUUUUCGAAAGGCAACAGCCCGUAACGAUGUUCAUUGGCUGAUAAAGGGAUUUGAGAAAAGGUUAUUUUCUCUCUUUCUCUCCAGUCUGUCCCCCUACCUAUGCAGAUCUUAAUCAAAUAACAAACCAUUCAACAACCUUGUCAGAACUGUGAGGACAAGACCGGGGCCUGCAAUGGGGAAACGAAGAAACCGAGGAAAAUAAACAAAUGGAUGACUUUGAACCCUUCUUGAUAUGAGGCUGGAAGUCCCUGCUCAGACUUCUAGAUUGUGCUGAUGGGGUACUUCUUUCCUAUAUAUUUCUGUCUUCGAGUUGCAGAAGUAGUUGUUGAUUCGGUGAAGGUUUCUCCACGUGUCUCCACUUGGCCUAAGUGAACCCCAACCAAUUUCAACAGCUUGGAUUCCUUCUGCUGCAAAUACUUUUACUUGGUUUCCGUUGCAAUUUUAGCUUAGGGGAGACUUUGAAAGGCUCACUGACAAAGCGCUCACAGGUGAGCUUCAGCUUCCACUGCCUUUGUCUGGUUCCUUUGAAGCAAGUCUGAUCCGCUUCUUCAUGUGGGUCUUAUUCUGAGAAAGCAUUGAUUUAGUUCUGCUUCAGACAACCACUCCAAAUUGUAUACAAAACCAAAUAACUGCCACUAUACAAUAAAAAGAUCCUAAAUAACACAUCGCAACAGAAUUUCCUAUGUCUGGGCUGAUAGAAAAAGCAAGGAAAAAUAACAUUGCAGGUGAAGGUGUUUUCCUGAUUUUGGAACCAGCACAAGAAUGCCAUCAAAUCGAAAGAAAGAAAGAAGUGGUUGUGUGGUCUUGGAGCCAGGAUGCCCACUGGAAAAAAAUACACUGGACAGUAGCAGUGAAAAUGUAGUGAUGGUUACUGAGGAAACACUGGAGAGGUGGAAAUGGCUCAAUUGCAGAUGAUUAAACCAAGAAGCUGGAAUAGUGGCCAUCAGGACCAAACUUGUGAUGCUUUAAAAUGUGCUCAGGACUUCCAAACGUGGCAUGGAAGUGGCAGAGCCGGCGAGGGGAAAGGAUGGCGGGGGAGCCAAGUAGUCUGGAGGAAAGAAGACGACAGCAAUCUAGGUGGUAAAUGACCAGAGCAGCAAGGUUGGAGAAAUAAAGCUGAGAGAGAUUCAUGAAGAGAUGAAAAGAUGCCUUUUUCAGCCUCACACUUGAAUGAGAGCAUUAAGAGCCUUAAUUACCCAUCCCACCAAGCACUGAGGGCAAUUUUUCCAUUUUGAUCAUUCUUUUUCUCUCAUUUUUGCUAUUUAGAGACACCAGUGGGCACCUUUUGAGAGACCCUAGCAGGGCUUUGGGAUCUACAGGCAUGGUGCUAUCCUCCUCCAGCCUGCCGUGAGCAGUGAGAGCUGGAACUGGGCUUUUCCCAGCGAGUUGUCCUGUAAGGACAUUCCUCUGCCUUUAGGCAAAUUCUUCACCAUUGUUCGCUUUUAUUUGUAUGAGUUUAGUGCCCGGUGUUAUGUCAUUGUAGGACAGGUUAAUAGCUUAACAGAAGAGAAAAAUGCAGAAUUCCAUCCCGUGAGUUAUCUGCUGACAGCUCCGCAGGCUGAGGUUCCAGCUUUUCCUGCGUAGCACAGUUCUCACACAAGGAAUCUUCUCACAGGUUCUAAAGAGGAGAGGCCAGGACAUUUCAAAUGUCUGUGUUGUGGCUGACUAUCCCGGAGAAAGUCCUUUUAAAGGGGAACUGAACCAAGACGGCCAAGUGAUUCCACAGGCAACGCCGAGAACUUAUUGUAUGGUAACAAUGACUCCGGCAAGUUUGAACUCAGUGUCUCAGAACAAAAUAAUCUCUCUCUCUUUCUGGCUAUUAGGACUUUUCUGAUCCUGAUCUCUUUUAACUCCUGUAACACUUUUGCCUAUGGAAAGUUAACCAGCAAAAAAAGUCCUUUUUUUCUGUUUUAAUUCUUAGUAAGCUUUUCAGCAAUAGUUUUCAGCAGAGCGAGAGGAGGACACACCUGAUCAGUUCCCACAUUUCACCUCCAGUCAGUGCCAUUCCAUCAUUCUUGCUCGUAAUCACCUGGUCAGAGCUCCAAAGUCUCUGAUAACGCUCAGGAAAAGAGCAGUGAGAGAGAAAGCUUUGGGACAAGCUGCACAAAAAGACAGGGAAAGGCUAGUGGGGCAAAGAAAGAAGCUUGGUGAAGGAGACCAGAAACUGGGAGUUGGCAAGGACUGGGAGACGGGCAGGCAGAGACUGGAGGAGAGAGCUAGGACUUGGUAUCCAAAGAGCAGUGACAGGAGAGGGAGAUUGGGUCUUGCUAUUUAAUGAUGCUGGAGCUUUAAUAAAAGACCAGGAGAUCAGAGAUCAGAUCUCUCUUCUUGAAGAGAUUUGGAGUGGGAGAAAUAAGCCAGAUAGACACUUUCAGAUAAUCAGAAGGGAGAUUAAAAUUGAGGCUUCAACCGUAACUUAGGCUCAUGCGUAUGAGCUUCAGCGCAGAAAACCCUUUGCGAAAUCAGUUAAAUGCAAAGCCAAAUGUACAAAAUUGGAUGUCACCAAGCAUUCUUCUAGAAUAUGUGAUCACAGAGGUAUUUGUUAAUCCACCUAUGUCCUAUUGCUUUAUUCCCUCACCAUCAGCAGUCAAAGGGCUGUUGAGAAAAAAAACAAAUCUUUGAGCAAUAGGUGAAGAAAGUGCCUCUGAGAAAGGAUCUACACUUUCUCUUCAGUUCGGUCGCUUCAAAAGACAGAUCUGGAGAUUCGGCUCUCGACUUCAAUUUAAAAAGUUCUUACCUUGGUAGGAAUAGCCAGGGGCAGAGGAAGAAACACAAGGGGUACCAAGAUUAUGAUCAGGUAUUUCCUGAAGGCCACGGUCAUCUGGCAGAAGCCAGCCAUGGUGCUGGAGCUGG